rnacentral:rRNA from 1 species
AUGAACGUUGGCGGCGUGGAUUAGGCAUGCAAGUCGAGCGAGAACCCAGCAAUGGGGGACAGCGGCGCAAGGGACAGUAAUGUGUAGAUCAUCUGCCCUCAGGCCCGGGAUAGCUGCGGGAAACUGCAGGUAAUACCGGAUAACAUCUCCGGAUCAAAGGUGUGAUUCCGCCUGAGGAUGAGUCUACAUCCUAUUAGCUAGUUGGCAGGGUAACGGCCUACCAAGGCGAUGAUGGGUAGCGGGUGUGAGAGCACGACCCGCGUCAUUGGGACUGAGACACUGCCCAGACACCUACGGGUGGCUGCAGUCGAGAAUCUUCGGCAAUGGGCGCAAGCCUGACCGAGCGACGCCGCGUGCGGGAUGAAGGCCUUCGGGUUGUAAACCGCUAUCAGAGGGGAUGAAGCGAAAGUGACGGUACCUGCAGAAGAAGCGCCGGCUAACUACGU